rnacentral:ribozyme from 1 species
UGUUCUUUUUUUUCUGUAUUUUACUUUCUCGGUUUUGUGUGUCUUUUCUUUGCUUUCUUGUCAUUCGUGCCAAGUUUAUUGGCAGGGGAGGAAAAGGGAGAGGCAUUUAAAAAGCGGCGGCUAUAUCGUUGAAAUUUUGGGAAAGUUCCUUAAAUUCAGCAAUACUCAUCUCAAAAGCAUGGGAAUGGAUUUCUUUGUUACU